rnacentral:rRNA from 1 species
GCUGCUUAAGAAGAAACUUCGGUUUUUUCUUAAGAGGAGUGGCGGACGGGUGAGUAACACGUGGGGAACCUAUCUAUCAGCGGGGGAUAACACUUGGAAACAGGUGCUAAUACCGCAUAUGGCUUUUUUUCACCUGAAAGAAAGCUCAAAGGCGCUUUACAGCGUCACUGAUGGCUGGUCCCGCGGUGCAUUAGCCAGUUGGUGAGGUAACGGCUCACCAAAGCAACGAUGCAUAGCCGACCUGAGAGGGUGAUCGGCCACACUGGGACUGAGACACGGCCCAGACUCCUACGGGAGGCAGCAGUAGGGAAUCUUCGGCAAUGGACGCAAGUCUGACCGAGCAACGCCGCGUGAGUGAAGAAGGUUUUCGGAUCGUAAAGCUCUGUUGUCAGCAAAGAACAGGAGAAAGAGGCAAUGCUUUUUCUAUGACGGUAGCUGACCAG